rnacentral:lncRNA from 1 species
GACAUUGCAGCUUCAAGAAUGGCAAAGAAAUGGUCACUAGUUGCAGGCUUUACACUGCCAGCAUGAAUCAGCUGCAAUGCAAGCUUUGACGCUUUACUAAACUUUGGAAUGUUCUUUAUAUGUGAUGCUAUUUUUUGCAUGGCUUCAAUAACUUGCGUCUCUGAGGCAUCCGUGGUUGUUUUAAACCUCAGUCGUUUUUCAGGAGCAGAAGCUGCAAGUCAUCAACAGCCACUUACUUUACCCAACUCAAAUAUUCACCAAACAACAACAAACAAAUAGUAACAAGUUGUAGGCCUAGGACCAUGAACGAGAGAAAUGCUCAAAACAUGAAUUGCUAGAAUAUGUAUCACAGAAAGUGGAUAGAUUAAUCCAUGAAGUACGCCUCAAUCAUAAAAUAGCAUAUAUGGCCUCUUUCUUUGCAAUACUAAAUCACAACAACUACUACUACUACUAUGACUAUUACUAUUACUAUGCCUCAAUCCCAAACAAGUUGGAUCUAUAUGGAUAAUAACUUUCUCCAUUUAUCAUCUCAGGCCAAUGAUGCAAAUGUAAAUAAAAAGCAUUAGGAGUUCUGUAUAUUUUCUAAAGCCUAAAGGUACAAAUAUCUGAAAGGUUAAACCACUCCUAGAAAGCACUGCUACCUACUGUAGUAGUGCUAAAGCCUAAAACAUAUUCUCAAUUAAUAUAGCCUACAUGCAUAGACUAAUUUGCUUCAGCUUGUAUCACUAGAGUAACAGGACGCAACAAUUGGAUUGAGGUUGCAGCCUUUUCUAGCUCCCAAUUUAAAUUUUUUUGUCCGCCACCAAAAUUGACCUGAAGGAUUGGAAAAUUCGAAAAAGGAGCACCACAACAACCCGAAUUGAAGUAGAGGAACUUAAAAUUAAACAAGCCACCUAUCUAUUUGAUCAAACUUGGAACACAAACCCUAGAAAGUUCGAACUUAUUAUGGGUAAGAACAGAAAAUUGACCUACUUUCAGGCUGUGAUUCUGCAGGUGGUUUGGAACGUUUGAGGGCACUCUUCAGAGCAGGAGGCGGAAGUGGAGGUUGCGGUGGUGGGGGUGCUUCCGAAGCCUCAGUAAGAGUGACGGCGGAACCAUUGACGGAAGUUAGUGGCGCUGCCGGAGGAGGCAAAUCUUC